GGAAUUCUCCAGCAACUCUAUUAUCCCUUCUGAAUCAUGUACCACCAACUAUAGCUGAAUGUGUCACACCUGUUAUGCUCUCCUAGAUUCCCAAGGUGUUGAGAAGUUUCAGGCCAAGUUGCUGUGUACAUGGAUAGGGCCUGCUUCCUAGCUGAGGAAAAAGAGCGCUGGAGAUAUUCUACCCUGACCGUUGGCCAGGCUGACUGGGAUAGAAGAUGAAGUCCAACAACAUCUAGAGGUCACUAGAUUGGAGAAGACUGAAUUAGGUGGACUUUGCUCUCCUCCUCCCUCUAGGGCAUUAUAUCCAUUUCAAAGUAACUCAGGUACCCGUAUUUUUCGCUCUAUAAGACGCACCAGACCAUAAGACGCACCUAGUUUUUGGAGGAGGAAAACAAGAAAAAAAAUAUUCUGAAUCUCAGAAGUCAGACCAACAAGAGGGAUCACUGCGCAGCGAAAGCAGCGAUCCCUCUUGCUGUUCUGGCUUCUGGGAUAGCUACGCAGCCUGCAUUCGCUCCAUAAGACGCACACAAAUUUCCCCUUACUUUUUAGGAGGGAAAAAGUGAGUCUUAUAGAGCAAAAAAUACGGUAACUGCAUUUUAGGACUGUAGAAACAUUUUGUCUCUAGCGGUGGUGGUGCUCUUCUUACUGGAUUUCUGUGCUCCAGCACUGCUCAGAGAAACAAACAUAACAAACUACAAGAAUGUUUAACUUUUGAAUGAUGCUAAAAUAGUCAAGGCCACUUGAGGGGUUGUCUGCCUAGUAAACGAUAACAGGCUUCGGUGCAAGGACUCCUUGAAUUUGUUGCAAAACCACAGCACAUUUAGACUAAAUUUAAAGUCAUCUUGGAUGCUUACUGAACUGGUAAGCUAAGGCACUAUCGGUGCAUGAGGCAUUUUGGGUUCAAAUCAUGCCUUAACCAUGAAUCUGCUUGAUGUUCUUAGGCAAGGAGCUUCCAUUCAGCCUCAGCCACCCUCACGUGCAGCGCAGGUGGCGCUGUGGUCUAAACCACUGACCCUCUUGGGCUUGCCAAUCAGAAGGUUGGCGGUUCGAAUCCCUGCAACAGGGUGAGCUCCCGUUGCUCUGUCCCAGCUCCUGCCAACCUAGCAGUUCAAAAGCAUGCCAGUUCAAGUAGAUAAACAGGUACCGCUGUGGCGGGAAGGUAAAUGGCGUUUCUGUGCGCUCUGUUUUCCGUCACAGUGUUCCAUUGCUCCAGAAGUGGUUUAGUCCUGCUGGUCACAUGACCCGGAAAGCUGUCUGUGGACAAUCGCCGGCUGCCUCGGCCUGAAAGCGAGAUGAGCGCCACAACCCCAUAGUCAUCUUUGACCGGACUUAACCGUCCAGGGGUCCUUUACUUUUAUGAGUCUAAUACUAGCAUGAAUCACAGCAUGCCUGGGCUGUCUUUUUGUACAGUGGUACUUCAGGUUAAGCACUUAAUUCGUUCUGGAGGUCCGUACUUAACCUGAAACUGUUCUUAACCUGAAGCACCACUUUAGCUAAUGGGGCUUCCCGCUGCUGCCAUGCCACCAGAGCACGAUUUCUGUUCUCAUCCUGAAGCAAAGUACUUAACCCGAGGUAAUAUUUCUGGGUUAGUGGAGUCUAUAACCUGAAGCGUAUGUAACCUGAGGUACCACUGUAUUGUCUGCUUGCUCCCUAUCGUUUUACUUGGAACUGCCACAGUCUUAUAAAUCAUUAUGAAUGGCUAGGACUGUAAGCUGCCUGCCAUUUUCAUUACUCAGAAGGCUGCCAUGUAGUAGUUGUACGCAAGUGUUCAGAAGAGAGGGAGAGCAGGGAUGCACUUCCUGGUUCUCCCCCCUCUCUCAGGCCCCCAUUGCCUGGUCUGGGGUGGGAAGCACGGGGGAUAGAUGGAAGCUUUCUGUGCAGUUUAGAAGGUCUUUGUAAAUAAACCCUCAAAGCGGUUUACAAGGAGAAUUUGCAAUCAAGCAAAUGUAUAAAUUGUAUGAAAUGUAUAAAUUUUAUUUAUGAAAUAAAUAAGGUCAGAAUGAGGCCACUUCAAGGCUGUCAGCAUUUUGCAGGAGAGGUUCCAAUACAUACUGGAAAUGCAGGUUUGUGCAAUUAAAGUGGAUUAAAGCGCUUUGUUGCCCGAGAUCAAUACAGUGGUACCUCUGGUGAAGAACUUAAUUCGUUCCGGAGGUCCGUUCUUAACCUGAAACUGUUCUUAGCCUGAGGUACCACUUUAGCUAAUGGGGCCUCCCGCCACCGCUGCACGAUUUCUGUUCUCAUCCUGAAGCAAAGUUCUUAACCCGAGGUACUAUUUCUGGAUUAGCAGAGUCUGUAACCUGAAGCGUCUGUAACCUGAAGCGUCUGUAACGCGAGGUACCACUGUAUAUCACCUUUAAAAACUAACCAACCAACAGAGAAGUUUUGCGGUUAGGAAAGUGAGGGAAAAUGCCCAGAAAAAUGUGGAGCAAAUGAAUGAAUGGUUAACAAGAAGAUGCAUAAACACUGUAUCAGCAAAUCAGAAAGAAUGUUCAGUGCUGUGUAACCUCCCUGCAAGCAAAUUAGAAUAGAUGCUCAGAAAAGACCCGGCAUAGUGUAACCUUGGUGUAUGUUUUGCGUAACUAGAUCAAGACAAUUGCUUGAUAAACGGGUUGUCUGGAGUAGCCCUGACUGGACAAGUCUAGUGUUGAUCCAGGGCACUUGUGAGUAAUUAAAAUGGCAGGCCAAUUGCAUCACUGCUGCUACUGUUCGCAGGGUGGAGAGCAGGGAGACCAACAGGAGGUGGAGACAGAGCCAGUGAUGGAUGUAGCAACAGCCAAUGGCAGGCAUGGAUCCAUUGUUGGGGGUGGGCCUUGAGAGGGCCCAAUCCGCUCCCCACUUUCCCAUCUGAAUGCUGAACGGUUUGUCCAGAGUGUUCAAAAUGUGGCUCGCAAUCUUACACCCCUUAACUUAAGACAUGGUUUGAUUCAGGUUUAACGGCAAACUUAAGAUCACACCUUCCACGUUUCCCCCCCAGUUAUGUUUCUGUCUUUCUGAAGGAAGAAUCAAACCAAGCAAGUUGUCUGCCCGGCACUUGUUCUGAACGGACUUUGGAAUCUCUGCUUCCAGCCUCAGAGCUUUUAUUCCUACUUUCUCUCUGGAGCAAGGCAGUGUUGCCCUCUGGGAUUAAGUUUUGGCCCAGGUGCCUGUUUGGAAGAGAACUGCAUGACUUCUCGGCCUUUGCCUCCAAUUGUGAAGCCCUGUGGGAAUCGUGAGAGAACAGAAGAGUAAGCAAAAUAAUAUUCAAAUAAGAUACUGGGAGUUUGAGGCCUCCUCCCCACGACUCUCUGGGAGCCUUUGUGGCUCCUGUGCUCAAACUGUAAAUGGAGAGAGUCUGUUGUCGCAGCAGUUCUCUAGCCAAUCAUAAACGUGCGACUCCUCCUUUAUUUGGCAGUUUCUACAAACUUGGUCAAAGUAGAAAGAUCAUGGAAGCUGUUCAACAGUUCCAGUUUCCCUCUUUCCCCUCACCAAACCCAUUUGAGGAUCAUAAUUUUUAGAAGCAGAGAAGUCGAGAAAAUUCUGCUUUUGGGGUCCGCUCUGCCCAAAUAACAGGUUUUGAAGUUUUACAAGUGGAUAGGGUGACAACAAUAUUCCUUAACAAAUAAAGAAGUCAUACAGUGCAGCUUUUGUGUUUUGCUUUUUGCAAUGAAACGGCUUCCUUUUUCUAAUCUGCUUAUCGCCAGAUUCGAGGGAUUUCAUCUGGUAGGCACUGGCUCCAUUCAUACAGCAAGGAAUUAUAUAUUUCAUAGAAUUGUAGAGUUGGAAGGGAUCAGGAAGGUCAUUAGGCCCAAUCCUACGCAAUGCAGGAAUCAUUUUACCCACUGUAGGCUCGAACCCACAGCCUUGUCAGGGAUUGGACUCAAGAGGGAUGGUGGAGACGACAACAACAACAACAACAACAACAACAACAACUUAUUUCUACCCCGCCCAUCUCGCUGGGUUUCCCCAGCCACUCUGGGUGGCUUCCAACAAAAGAUUAAAAAUACAUUAAAACAUCAGUCAUUAAAAACUUCCCUAAACAGGGCUGUCUUCAGAUGUCUUCUAAAAGUCAGAUACAGUAAUACCUCGGGAUAAAUACGCUUCAGGAUAAGUAUUUUCGGGUUGUGCUCCGCGGCGACCCGGAAGUAAUGGAGCACGCUGCUCGCACAUGUGCAGACAGUCAAAGUGACAUCACGUUCAUGCACAGACGCGUCUUACGUUCUGUUCACGAUGCGAACGGGGCCAAGGUACCACUGUAGUUGUUUAUUUCCUUGACAUCUGGUGGGAGGAUGUUCUGCAGGGCGGGUGCCACUACCGAGAAGGCCCUCUGCCUGGUUCCCUGUAACCUCACUUCUCGCAAUGAGGGAACCGCCAGAAGGCCCUCGGCACUGGACCUCAGUGUCUGGGCUGGACGAUGGGGGUGGAGACACUCCUUCAGGAGAUCACUCCCCCCUUCUCCUGACCCUGCAGGAGAGGAGGGAUGCAACAUUGAAUUACAACAAGGGUUUGAGGAAAGUCACAGCUCAGAGAUAGAUGAACAGAAGAGUUGGGAAUUGUUAGAAGAAGGCGGGGGGGGGGGGGCUACGGCAGGGCAGCCAGCUGACUUGUUGUCACUGGAGAGUCUUUCUAUUAGUUUUUUUUUCAAAAUUUUUAUUGAGUUUCCAAUUUUAUAU